UACAGAGGGGGCAAGCGUUAUUCGGAAUUAUUGGGCGUAAAGGGCGCGUAGGCGGCUUUGCAAGUGACGGGUGAAAUCCCUCGGCUUAACCGAGGAACUGCCUGUCAGACUGCAUGGCUUGAGACCGGGAGAGGUGAGUGGAAUUCCCAGUGUAGCGGUGAAAUGCGUAGAUAUUGGGAGGAACACCAGUGGCGAAGGCGGCUCACUGGACCGGUUCUGACGCUGAUGCGCGAAAGCGUGGGUAGCAAACAGG
rnacentral:rRNA from 1 species